rnacentral:rRNA from 1 species
UCCAGACUCCUACGGGAGGCAGCAGUGGGGAAUAUUGGGCAAUGGGCGCAAGCCUGACCCAGCAACGCCGCGUGAAGGAAGAAGGCUUUCGGGUUGUAAACUUCUUUUCUCAGGGACGAAGAAAGUGACGGUACCUGAGGAAUAAGCCACGGCUAACUACGUGCCAGCAGCCGCGGUAAUACGUAGGUGGCAAGCGUUAUCCGGAUUUACUGGGCGUAAAGGGAGCGCAGGCGGCGCGCCAAGUCUGAUGUGAAACCCCGGGGCUCAACCCCGGGACUGCUCUUGGAACUGCGUGGCUGGAGUGCAGGAGGGGCAGGCGGAAUUCCUGGUGUAGCGGUGAAAUGCGUAGAUAUCAGGAGGAACACCGGUGGCGAAGGCGGCCUGCUGGACUGCAACUGACGUUGAGGCCCGAAAGCGUGGGGAGCAAACAGGAUUAGAUACCCUCGUAUU